UACAUUUGCUAACAUUUCUAAAAACCUGUUUUUGCUUCGUCAUUAUUGGGUAUUGUGUGUAGAUUGAUGAGGAAAACAUUUAAUUUAAUAAAUUUUAGAAUAAGUCAAGGGGUCUGAAUACUUUCCAAAUGCACCAUACAUCAGCCUGGCAGCAGAGUUGGGGCUCUUGGUGAUUUUACAUCCAGGACCCUACAUCUGUCCUGAUAUCUGUUCGCAGAGAGGUUCGUAGUUUGAAGAGGGAGGCCCCAUCAUUGCAGUUCAAGUGGAGAAUGAGUACGGCUCAUAUGCAAAGGAUGAACGAUACAUGCCUUUUAUAAUGGAGUUAAUGUGAUACUGUACUGUUUCUCACUAUCUGCAUAAUUCUAUAUGCCCAGUAUAGACUUUUGCAGUGACCUCUAAAUGUAUAGUGAAACUGUAUCUCCUUUGGCCAGCUCUAUCAUCCAGAGGGAUCAAUGAAGUCCUGCUGACAUCAGACAAUCGGGAGGGGCUAUGUUUUUUUUCUUGACCCCUCCUCUCUUAAGUUCCCAAGACGGUUAACCUUCAAAGACUGGCAAACGGAACAAUGUAAUAUUUAGUGUACAUGCAGGUAUAGUGCCAAUGAGUCUGUAUUUUCUUCUAUUUUGUCUUGCAUCUGUGAAAACAUAGUGGUUCAAAGACUAAGUGCGACUUUGCCCUUACUGUAGCCCCAGAAACCUCUGCUUGUAAUGGAGUACUGGUUUGGGUGGUUCGAUGUCUGGAGUGAAUCUCACCAUGUGUUUCCAGCAGAGGAUUAUGAUGCUUCGUUAUCUGAGGCUUUACACCACCAAGUAUCAGCUCUUGAGGAAUUUAUUCAGCCAGUUUCACAAUGAGAAGCUUCCUGAGGUUCCCUCCCUCCAGGCCAGGAGAGUGUAUGAGCCUGUCAUCAUUCAGAAGCAUCUGUCACUGUGGGAGAGCCUGCAGUUUACUGACAAGCCCUUGAAGUCAGAGGGGCCUGUCAACAUGGAGAACAGUAACAAUGGUCAGUCCUAUGGCUACACUCAAUAUGAGACCACCAUCAGCAGCGGAGGCCUUCUGAACUCCAAGACAAAUUUUUGAGACUGAGCCCUGGUGAGUACAGACAGACACAGCGACAUGGCAUGAAUUUACUACAGUAAAUGGUGCACACUGUAUGACAAUACAUCAUUUGUACUAAUAAAGUUGGCUUGUCUUCUAGGUGUUUGUAGACAGACACUUUGUUAGAGUUUUGGACUAUAAGAUCGUGGAGAUUACACUGCCUGAUGGGAAAGGUAUAGUGAUACUUUGUGUUUAGAUGCAGGCUAUAGGUGUGCUGCUCAGCUGCUUUCAAAACUGGCUAGUUAAUAUUCAACACCAUGUUAGAGGUGAAAGCUUCUGGUGAUGCUGAUAAAUGCAUUUGUCACUAAGGUGCUAGGAUUAUUCCAACAGAAAGUUUUCAGACAAAUGUUGUUCUGACAAAGAGGAAUCACAAUCACUAACUUUUCUCCUGCCUGGAAAAAACAAGUCCAUGCUGCUUAACCUAUAGCACAGCGGAAGAUUGGACAUGAUCAAUUACUCUCUGCAGUCCAACUGAAAGCCACGUUUCCUAUAUUGUCUCUGUGUCCUAUGCACUGUUGACUGCAGUGCUUCAAUUAGUGGUUUCCACAUGUUUUAUGUAUUUUCCAUUGAAGGGGGAGAGAACAUUGAGUUUACUUAUGGAGAACUAUGGAAGAGUGAAUUAUGGGAAAGCCCUGGAUGAUCAGCGAAAAGGUAUUCUAUUCUUAGUUGCUACCACUUCAACAAUCCGAAUUCCAAGGCAGAAAGCAUACAUUGAAGGCACUGUAGACCUUUGUGUGUAAUCCUUUAUUGCUGUGACAUCAGUUUAUAGUCGUUAAAGUGGAUAGACCUGAAUGCUCAACAACAGUAUCCAUGAGGUCUUGGAAUAAUUGUAUUGUAUUGAUACUCGCCCAUUCAGCUCUUAAUCUUUAGUCACAUAUCACCCUGUUCUUGGUCUGGUGGGAGACAUUGGUUUGAACCACGUGCCUCUAAAGGGCUUUACAAUCUACUGUUUGGAUAUGAAGCCAAACUUCCUAAAGAGGUUUGUCCUGAUCAUUUAAUUUAUACAACACUAACUUCCAUUCUGGCUCUUACAGUUUGUCAUUUGUUGUCAAUGCAAGUUUAACUGGCAUAUCAGGUUGUCUUAAAGGCCCAGUGCAUUCAUAAAUGUGAUUUUCCUGUGUUUUAUAUAUAUUUCCACACUAUGAGGUUGGAAUAAUACUGCAAAAUUGUGAAAAUUAACAUAAUGCCCUUUUAGUGUAAGAGCUGUUUGAAAAUACCUCCUGAAAUUUCAGCCUGUUUUGGUGGAAUGGAGUUUUGGCCUUACAUGGUGAUAUCACCAUAUGGUAAAUUAGUUAAUAGACCAAUAAGAAAGAGAGUUCCAAACCUCUGCCAAUAACAGCUCAUUUUCAGUUUUCCCCUCCUCACUCAGACCACUCCCAGACAGUCCUAGCAAAAUUGUUGUUUGAGAAAUAGCCCUUUGCUAAGAAACAAUUGAUGUUACUUUUUUUAUUGAAAAUAAUCACAGUAAGGUACUUAAUUGUUACCCAGAAAUUAUUUGAUAUUGAGAUGAAAAUGGCUGCAUUGGACCUUUAAAGUUUAGAUGACUCAUAUUGUAGCUCUGCCCCAUAUUAUUUAAAUGGGGAAUCUCCUCCCAUGUUUCAGAUUGAGUGCAGCAAACCAGUGGAACUCUGUCCCCCAGAAGCCUUCCUUCCCAGGGUUCUUCCAGGGCAGGCUGUAUGUGGACGGUCAUCCCAGAGACACCUUCAUCCCAGAGACACAAGCAUUUCACUACACUCGCAUUAACAUCUGCUAACCAUGUGUAUCUGACCAAUAACAUUUGAUUUGAUUUGAUCAGAGUGCCUGUGUGUAAAGUAGCUCAACAGGCUUUGUGGUUAUGAGAGAGAGCACCACCUGUCCAUAUUGUAUCCCUGCUGGUUUAUUCGUAUAGUAUAGUAGACCUAUCUCUGGUUUAUUGGUGUACUGUAUAUUGUAGUAGGCCCAUCCCUCAUCAGACACACAUACAGUAGUGAUAAAAUAUGUUCUUAGAGAAACUCUUAACUCUCAGUGUCAAGUCACUGAUUACAGUGUUUCCAUCCACAGGGUUGGAGUAAAGGAGUGGUCUUUAUCAACGGGCAGAAUCUUGGACGCCACAGGUCCAUCGUUCACCAGCAAACCCUUUACCUCCCUGGACCUUGGCUUAAAAGUGGAAAUAAUCAGAUCAUCGUGUUCGAGAAACAUAAAGAUGAUAAUACAUUUGUUUUUGUUGAAAAUCCUGAUCAUGGAAAAACAAUUGAUGUAUACAAACAUCCAUUUUGUGUUCUGCUUUGAAAUUAUCAAUAUUUAAAUAAAACGAUGACACAGCAAGUUAUUAUAAUAUAGUAAUAACAUGGUAAAAUACAAAGCUAUGAUUACCGUAACACACUGUAUGUAUGUAAUGUUGUUUUUGUGUUAUGGGAUGGGUCUACCACUGAAUGUGAUAAUAGACAUGUAUUUAUAUGUAGCCUAGAACACAGUCAUAAGGCAAGUUACAUACAUUGAAAAACAAGACAUUUAGUGUUCGAAUGCAGACUAUUACAACAAAGAAAGGUGAGAUGGACGAGAUAAAGGACAACGAAGUUCAAAGGUCCUCAAGGUCAAAUGCAGGUGUGUGAAACAUUCCAGUUUCAGUGCCUCACUAUUUGUCCGGAUAGGCAGUGUUAUUGUCUAUCUAAAUUGAAAUAUAGAUAAAUAAACACACCACUUGAAUUCACAAAUAUUUGUGUCUUGGGUACUGUUACACAUAAUUUAGCUGUAAGGUUGACUAAAAAGGUAUUUAUUAUAUUUACAUGAACACAAUAUAGUUUGUAGCACAUCUUAUGCUCAUCUUGAAUGGUAAAGCUCUAGUUAUUAAUGCAUGUUAUUAAUCAUGUUAUUUAUUAUAAGAUUAUUAAAGAUAAGAAUGUAGUUUACAGUAGGAGAAUAACAAUCUGGCACGGCCCUUCCUGUAGGGGGGCUUUUUUUUAUAUCAUUGAAUUAAAUAUUUCUUAUCACAGAUUAUCCAUUAUAUUGACCUCUGUUUAUUAUCUAUCCUGAUUGCCUAGCCACUUUUACCCCUACCUAAACUCAG